rnacentral:rRNA from 1 species
AUUGAACGCUGGCGGCAGGCCUAACACAUGCAAGUCGAACGAGUGGCGGACGGGUGAGUAAUGCCUGGGAAACUGCCUGAUGGAGGGGGAUAACUACUGGAAACGGUAGCUAAUACCGCAUACCAUCCGAUGUUCCCAGAUGGGAUUAGCUGGUUGGUGGGGUAAAGGCUCACCAAGGCGACGAUCCCUAGCUGGUCUGAGAGGAUGACCAGCCACACUGGAACUGAGACACGGUCCAGACUCCUACGGGAGGCAGCAGUGGGGAAUAUGGCACAAUGGGCGCAAGCCUGAUGCAGCCAGGCCGCGUGUAUGAAGAAGGCCUUCGGGUUGUAAAGGACUUUCAGCGGGGAGGCGUUACCCGCAGAAGAAGCACCGGCUAACUCCGUGCCAGCAGCCGCGGUAAUAC